GCAUGUUCCGGUGGGGUUUGCAUCUCUUGAUACUGGAGAAGCCCAUUUCAUUUCUGGUUGUCAGAGAUGGGGAUGGUACAAAGUGCACACUGGGGUGAUGAAUGGAAUGCUGAAGGGCAUGCAAAAAUAGGACGAACGGAAUCAAGGAUCGCCAUGCAUGGACUAUGAAGAUAUUCGGUGGAUGGGUUGGCGGGGUAAGUUAACAUGGAUUCGGCGCGGGCAGCUGAGAUCUAUCUGAAUAUUGGGCCACGGAGGGGUUCAUGUCUCUCUGGGCAGACAUCGCGACGAUCCAAGUUGCUCUCGAUGUCGCGAACUCUC
rnacentral:sRNA from 2 species